rnacentral:rRNA from 1 species
UACGUAGGGGGCUAGCGUUGUCCGGAAUCAUUGGGCGUAAAGAGCGUGUAGGCGGUUUGGUAAGUCCGCUGUGAAAGUCGGGGGCUCAACCCUCGAAUGCCGGUGGAUACUGUCGGGCUAGAGUGCGGAAGAGGCGAGUGGAAUUCCUGGUGUAGCGGUGAAAUGCGCAGAUAUCAGGAGGAACACCUAUUGCGAAGGCAGCUCGCUGGGACGUAACUGACGCUGAGACGCGAAAGCGUGGGGAGCAAACAGG